UUAUUGAGUUCUACGCUACAAGAACUUAUUUAAUUAUACGGUUCUAUAAAACAGUUCAUAUCUACUUUUCUAUCCGAGAUAGAUAAGUAUAAGAAUAACAAAAUCGUGCAACAGUUAAACUAAUUGUACUGUGAUUGAACUGAAUUAAACGUCUUA